rnacentral:lncRNA from 1 species
UUCUCAGAAUGUUUCUAGGACAUUAUAGUCCCAACAAGAGCUCAGACGAGAUUAUAAAAGUUUAAAAGCCAACAGUGUUGAAUCAUUCCUUCUUGACGGGGAUCACGUAGCCUUUAGAAACAUAAAAGCCUCGGUGCCUAUACAAACAUUUCUAUUUCAGGGUCCUUCACUUGUUCUGGAGCUGGUCCAAAGUCCCUGCUUGAUAAUUUACAUGUUUGACCUCCGUGCAGAAAAGGAGACAAAGUCUAUUCAAACAGUCACCGACUGCAGAAAGAAAAAGGGAGGUCUCCCUACAGAGACCCCUAUUCUUAUCUAGACUGUUUGAAGUAGUUUCCUGCCCUUCGCCGCUACUGGAAUUCUUCGUUUGGAAGAAACACUUGUGCAUAAAUUAGACGAGAAGUUGUUGGCUCAAACUGCCUGAAACACCUGUCAUCAUGUUUUUGAGAAACAAAAUAGCAUCAGGUCUGCUUUGCUUGUUUCCAGAAACAAAUGAGAAGCGCAUUUCCUCCCAAAGUUUUCAUCACCCAGCCUACCAUUAUCGUUAUUAAACACCUGUGCAGUCACAAAGUUGCUUCCCUUCCCGAGAUUGUUCCUAUUCUUGGAAGACGGUUCACCAGGACAAGUAACCAGUCCAUCACUUGGUUGUCUCCCGUGCAAGGGUCUCCCAGGCCCUGAGUGUCGACGCUGCCCUCUUUCUUCUUGUCGGGUACCAGGAAAUUCCAGAGAUACAAGACCUGGUGCCAGCGAACCCGUGCGAGAUCGAGGCUUCAACACUGCCGUGACGUCACGAAGCAGGCGGUUGCGUUUCCUUUGACUGAGGGAAGAAAGGUGAAGGUCGGCGUCUGGGACAAGAUGGUGGCGCUUCAAGUCGGACUCAUGAUCCUGGGUGCGGUUGUGAUCUUUAUAAUGAUUUUUGUCACGUGCAAACUGUUUUUCAUUGGUAACGACGUCCGAAUGCGUCUACGUCUACGUGGUUUGAUUGCUCUCUGAAGAUGGAAAUGUAAUGUCAAUAGAAAGCGAGGUUUAGCGAUGUUUAAUAGCAAAACUAAAACUAGCUUAGUGCUCAUGAGUUUGUGCAUCGAUGUGUCUUUGCACGUGUGAUACUCUGAGAACUAUCGUGCAAAUAAAGAAAGAUAAGAAAAUGUAGCCGGGCUCGCUCACACACUGUACCACAGUCAUUUAUCUUCCCUUGUGCUCACACAUUCAUUCUGAAAAUGUGAUUGUCAGGUACACACGCAUGUACACGCACGCACACACACAUGCAUACACAUACAUGAACAGACACACUCGCAUACACAUACAUGCACACACACACACAAACUACUCUUUCUCCCCAUCAAAAUACUGCUUGAAUCCUCCGCCAUUUUGAAACUCACUAUUUUACUUCUAGAACCUUCUCGAAUCUCAUUUUUUAUUCUGCGUUUUUUGCUGUCUUUAUAUACUAAGUUCUAAAGAAUGUGUUCAAUCUACCGAAAGUUGUUCAAAUGUACUGACUGCAAUGUUUAUAUUAUGGGGUUAGUCGGAAAAAAAUUACUUGUGAGAAGUCUGAAGUAUGGUUCUCAGCAAUAAACAAGGGUUACAGUUCAUCACAAUUGUGUGAUUUAGUGAUUUUAACAAGGUGUUCAGGAUUCCGGUGUUAUCAAAUCUUCUGGUGAAGAAAAUCAUUUUUAAUUAACUCGGAGAUAUGCUGUGGAAAUUAUUUUCUGCCGUUUACAUGGAUAUGUGUGUAUGUGUGCAAAGUACACAGCCGAAGCAAAUAAUAUAUCAUCAAAAAACUCCUUCAUAAAGAAUGAAUAAGUAGAGUAGAGAUAAAUUAAUGUUUUGUGCUACAGUGGUCUAUAGAUGGCAAUAUUUGAAAUGAAACAGAGCUGAUACAUACAAGAUAGGUAGUGAGUGUAUGGGUGUGAAUGUGUAAAGUUUCAGUGUGUUGUAAGUUGCUUUUUAUUCCAGGUAUGCAUAUAUCUCCAUGUCAAAAUGACUAUGAGCCAUUGAUAUUAAAGUGUGUCAUGUAUAUGUAUUUAUGUCUAUAAAUGUGUGUGUGUGUGUUUGCACGCGCACCUUUUUACCUGUUUUGUUACAUUGUCCGCGUGCAACACCUUUCUGCAACAGCUAAUCACCAAGGCACUCACACCACUGUGUAAACUGUGUGAAUGUUUCAAACUUGACAGUUAAUGUUCAUUUUAUUCAGUACAGAGCCCGUAAAAUGUUUUGGUUUGUAUUCAAUACAGCGACUGUAUAAUUAAUGCCGAGUCCCCGGAUGCUAGCCUGUACCACGUGCUUUUUUUUAAACUGAAGACCUCGGACUCAAAAAUUUCCGACACAGCGAGUAUGAUCCCUAAAUGUUUGUUUGUUUCAUGUGUGUGUGUGUGUGUUGUCCAAGGCUCUUUCUCUGUCUUUGUUUUUCUGUUUCUCUUUCUCUCAUUCCACUCUUGGUCUCAAGCUUGGCUCAGGAUAUGCAAUGCACUUCUCGAAUGAGAAAAUUCCACGUGAAUAUGCAUUAAAAAAUCAAAACAGUAUUCAAUUCAUCGGUUAACCUUUGCUGUUCAGUACUCGACUUGUCAUCGGGGGUGGGAAGUGGAGAGGGAAAGACAGAAGCAGCAGCUUGCCACAGACACUUUUCUUGAACUACGGUAAGCAAGUCCUGCAGGGCACUGACAAGUCAAAACAAAAACAAACAAGCAAAAAGACUUUAUGGACGAAUCAAAAACCUGAUCAAAUUACCAGUAAAUUACCAGUAACAAAGAUGUAAAUUGUCCUCUAGAAGGAUAUCACAUAAAAAUGUGCAAUAUAUAUAUAUUCGUUAUGAAAAACUGUGCGCUGACCUCAUAGACAGUGUCUAGUGUCACAGGUAACACUGUGCUGAAUGAGUCAGUGUCACAGGUAACACUGUGCUGAAUGACUCAGUGUCACAGGUAACACUGUGCUGAAUGAGUCAGUGUCACAGGUAACACUGUGCUGAAUGAGUCAGUGUCACAGGU